UUUAAGACUGACGACAGAUGUGGAAACUUUUAAAACAGCCCUCUUUUUGUAAACAUCUAAAUGAUUAUUUUGAGGAUUCAAAUAAAAUCCCUGUUCUGUUCGACUCAACUUUACUGGUUCACUUACAAAGUCAGAACUGUAUUGAGCCUCCUUUUGCUCCCUCUUCCACGGAGUAAAAGCUUCCACCCACUUCCUUUUAAAACCAUUAAAAGUCAUAAUUUACCAGACUGAGAGUCCG
rnacentral:misc_RNA from 1 species